AUUGAACGCUGGCGGCAUGCCUUACACAUGCAAGUCGAACGUGAAAGCGGGGCAACCCGCAAGUAGAGUGGCGGACGGGUGAGUAAUACAUCGGAACGUGUCCAGUAAUGGGGGAUAACCUAGCGAAAGUUAGGCUAAUACCGCAUACGAUCUGCGGAUGAAAGCGGGGGAUGCGGCACUAAAGGCUUUUGGCGAAGGUGGCCAAAGGUGAGUCAAGAGCUUUUAGUGCUGCACCUCGCGUUAUUGGAGCGGCUGAUGUCUGAUUAGCUAGUUGGUGAGGUAAGGCUUACCAAGGCGACGAUCAGUAGCUGGUCUGAGAGGACGGCCAGCCACACUGGGACUGAGACACGGCCCA
rnacentral:rRNA from 1 species